CCUACGGGGGGCUGCAGUGAGGAAUAUUGCACAAUGGACGCAAGUCUGAUGCAGCAACGCCGCGUGGAGGAUGAAGGCCCUUGGGUCGUAAACUCCUUUUUUCGGGGAAGAGAAUGGACGGUACCCGAAGAAUAAGUCACGGCUAACUACGUGCCAGCAGCCGCGGUAAUACGUAGGUGGCAAGCGUUAUCCGGAAUUACUGGGCGUAAAGCGCACGCAGGCGGUCUUGUAAGUUUGACGUGAAAGCUCCCGGCUUAACUGGGAGAGGUCGUUGAAUACUGCGAGACUUGAGUUUAGGAGAGGGGUGUAGAAUUCCCGGUGUAGUGGUGGAAUGCGUAGAUAUCGGGGGGAAUACCAGUGGCGAAAGCGGCACCCUAGCCUUUGACUGACGCUCAUGUGCGAAAGCGUGGGGAGCGAACGGGCUUAGAUACCCCAGUAGUC
rnacentral:rRNA from 1 species